rnacentral:rRNA from 1 species
UACAGAGGGGGCAAGCGUUGCUCGGAAUUACUGGGCGUAAAGGGCGCGUAGGCGGCCUGCUAAGUCGAACGUGAAAUCCCUGGGCUCAACCCAGGAACUGCGUCCGAUACUGGUUGGCUUGAAUCCGGGAGAGGGAUGUGGAAUUCCAGGUGUAGCGGUGAAAUGCGCAGAUAUCUGGAGGAACACCGGUGGCGAAGGCGACAUCCUGGACCGGUAUUGACGCUGAGGCGCGAAAGCGUGGGGAGCAAACAGG